AUUGAACGCUGGCGGCAGGCCUAACACAUGCAAGUCGAGCGGAUGAAGGGAGCUUGCUCCUGGAUUCAGCGGCGGACGGGUGAGUAAUGCCUAGGAAUCUGCCUGGUAGUGGGGGAUAACGUCCGGAAACGGGCGCUAAUACCGCAUACGUCCUGAGGGGGAAAGUGGGGGAUCUUCGGACCUCACGCUAUUAGAUGAGCCUAGGUCGGAUUAGCUAGUUGGUGGGGUAAAGGCCUACCAAGGCGACGAUCCGUAACUGGUCUGAGAGGAUGAUCAGUCACACGGGAACUGAGACACGGUCCAGACUCCUACGGGAGGCAGCAGUGGGGAAUAUUGGACAAGGGGCGAAAGCCUGAUCCAGCCAUGCCGCGUGUGUGAAGAAGGUCUUCGGAUUGUAAAGCACUUUAAGUUGGGAGGAAGGGCAGUAAGUUAAUACCUGGCUGUUUUGACGUUACCAACAGAAUAAGCACCGGCUAACUUCGUG
rnacentral:rRNA from 1 species